UGGAUCCAGACUUUGAUUAUGGCUCAGGAUGAACGCUAGCUACAGGCUUAACACAUGCAAGUCGAGGGGAAACGACAUCGAAAGCUUGCUUUUGAUGGGCGUCGACCGGCGCACGGGUGAGUAACGCGCAUCCAACCUGCCCACCACUUGGGGAUAACCUUGCGAAAGUAGGACUAAUACCCAAUGACGUCUCUAGAAGACAUCUGAAAGAGAUUAAAGAUUUAUCGGUGAUGGAUGGGGAUGCGUCUGAUUAGCUUGUUGGCGGGGUAACGGCCCACCAAGGCAACGAUCAGUAGGGGUUCUGAGAGGAAGGUCCCCCACAUUGGAACUGAGACACGGUCCAAACUCCUACGGGAGGCAGCAGUGAGGAAUAUUGGUCAAUGGACGAGAGUCUGAACCAGCCAAGUAGCGUGCAGGAUGACGGCCCUAUGGGUUGUAAACUGCUUUUAUAAGGGAAUAAAGUGAGUCUCGUGAGACUUUUUGCAUGUACCUUAUGAAUAAGGACCGGCUAAUUCCGUGCCAGCAGCCGCGGUAAUACGGAAGGUCCGGGCGUUAUCCGGAUUUAUUGGGUUUAAAGGGAGCGUAGGCCGGAGAUUAAGCGUGUUGUGAAAUGUAGACGCUCAACGUCUGCACUGCAGCGCGAACUGGUUUCCUUGAGUACGCACAAAGUGGGCGGAAUUCGUGGUGUAGCGGUGAAAUGCUUAGAUAUCACGAAGAACUCCGAUUGCGAAGGCAGCUCACUGGAGCGCAACUGACGCUGAAGCUCGAAAGUGCGGGUAUCGAACAGGAUUAGAUACCCUGGUAGUCCGCACGGUAAACGAUGGAUGCCCGCUGUUGGUCUGAAUAGGUCAGCGGCCAAGCGAAAGCAUUAAGCAUCCCACCUGGGGAGUACGCCGGCAACGGUGCAACUCAAAGGAAUUGACGGA
rnacentral:rRNA from 1 species